rnacentral:lncRNA from 1 species
AAUACAUCCAUUGCGCACAAGUCGUUUUCUCCCUAUAACCCUUGAGGAGGUACCAGAUGGAUGAGAAGUAGACAUAUUCCCGUUAGCUUCAUCCUGAGAAUUGCUGGACACAUCAAUUGCUCUCUCUGGAUUUGAAGUAGCAAAAGAACCAUUGACUGGACCAACUUCUAUUUUCUCCUUGCCUUUAGAAGCACUGUUAAGUAUUCUUGAGGAGACAGGAGACAGCGAUGAGGCACUACUGGAUGACAUUUGACCCUUACCUCUAGCUUGAGAGGGCAGACUAUUCGAUGCUCCACAAGGAAAAUCCAUGUUUAAUAUGCGGCCAUGCUCACUCGGAAAGCUCAAAUUUACGUUUGUUUUAUUUUCUCUGCCAGCAUGGGAUUUAGAAGGAAUCUUGGUACACAAAGCUUUUCCUUUGUCCGUAUGUGUUGCUCCCCUAGAUUGCCUACUUACAGGCCUGG